GUUGUGGGAGCAAGAGCCCGGAGAUGGAUUCUGAGACAUGAAUCCAGGCCCUACGGGGCGCAGCAGGCGCGAAAACUUUACAAUGCGGGGAACCGCGAUAAGGGGACACCGAGUGCCAGCAUCCUAUGUUGGCUGUCCAUAUGUCUAAAUCACAUGUGUUAGCAAGGGCCGGGCAAGACCGGUGCCAGCCGCCGCGGUAACACCGGCNGCCCGAGUGGUGGCCACUAUUAUUGGGUCUAAAGGGUCCGUAGCCGGUUUGGUCAGUCUUCCGGGAAAUCUGACGGCUCAACCGUUAGGCUUUCGGGGGAUACUACCAGGCUUGGGACCGGGAGAGGUAAGAGGUACUACGGGGGUAGGAGUGAAAUCUUGUAAUCCCUGUGGGACCACCAGUGGCGAAGGCGUCUUACCAGAACGGGUCCGACGGUGAGGGACGAAAGCUGGGGGCACGAACCGGAUUAGAUACCCGGGUAGUCCUAGCCGUAAACGAUACUCGCUAGGUGUCGGCCACGGUGCGACCGUUGUCGGUGCCGUAGGGAAGCCGUGAAGCGAGCCACCUGGGAAGUACGGCCGCAAGGCUGAAACUUAAAGGAAUUGGCGGGGGAGCACCACAACGGGUGGAGCUUGCGGUUUAAUUGGAUUCAACGCCGGG
rnacentral:rRNA from 1 species